AGCAUUUUAAAAACGGAAAUUCCUUUACUACCGUGACAAAAGAGUCUAUUUAAUAGUAAGAGUAAGUUUAAACGAUUGUACCGAUUUCCUUCAAAUUUGUCUUUCUGCAAUUUUAAAUGGAACAAAAUAUGUAUUAAGCUGCAGCAGUUUGGGUCCUCAAAACUUUGCCCCCAUAUGGAGACAAAAUUGGAAGAUUGAAAAUUGUAGUGGGCGUAUAUUUGUAUAUCUGGGAAACAAUGAGAGCUAGACACGGACAAUAUUAAAAUCCACAUGAACAAUUUUUCCGGCCGUGUCACCUCCCAUAUGAAAUAAAUGUAGAAAUUCGUAUACAUAUGUGUACUGAAAACUAUUGGAGCUAGAAUCCUCAAAUUUUGCACAAAAAACUUUAACAUCCAUGUGAACAUCAUCCAUUGUGCAAUAAAUUUGGCGGAUAUUUACUGGACGUUGAAUAUGGGGUUUUAUUUAUAAAACUUUUCAGGGUGGCGAAGUUUACUGGCAACACUUUUUUCAAAUAUGUAAAUACAAAACAAUGAUGGUGAAUGGACUUGAAAUUUUUACGGCGCAAUAAAACUUAAAACAACGAAAAUAAAUAUAUUUAUAUAAAAAAGAGUAAGCCUUCUCUAAAGAAUAAAACUGAAAAAUGUCUUACGACGAUUACGAGUAAGUAUUAAUUGUUACAUGAUCUUUUUUAUAAUUCAGUUUUUUUUUUUUUGGUUUACAACUUUACACAUACUGAGAUUUUCUUCUGAUAUAUUAAAUAUACUUAUAUGCGAAUUAAAAAGCAAAAAAAAAUUAAAAGAAUUAAACAGGUGUAGACAGUCUGACAGAUAGACUGAAAUGUUCGGAGACGAGUGUGAAUGUUAAAUAUGCUUGAUGCCUGGUUUUGCCUGUCUGACUGACUGACUGACUGACUCUGCGCUUUAGAAGAGAUUGAUGUGAAUGUAGGGAAUAUUUAAUUAUUUUAAGUUUAAUGAACUUUCGGAUUUA